rnacentral:rRNA from 1 species
UUUCCUUCGGGACAGAGGUGACAGGUGGUGCAUGGUUGUCGUCAGCUCGUGUCGUGAGAUGUUGGGUUAAGUCCCGCAACGAGCGCAACCCCUAUUGUUAGUUGCCAUCAUUUAGUUGGGCACUCUAGCGAGACUGCCGGUAAUAAACCGGAGGAAGGUGGGGAUGACGUCAAAUCAUCAUGCCCCUUAUGACCUGGGCUACACACGUGCUACAAUGGCUGGUACAACGAGUCGCAAGCCGGUGACGGCAAGCUAAUCUCUUAAAGCCAGUCUCAGUUCGGAUUGUAGGCUGCAACUCGCCUACAUGAAGUCGGAAUCGCUAGUAAUCGCGGAUCAGCACGCCGCGGUGAAUACGUUCCCGGGCCUUGUACACACCGCCCGUCACACCACGAGAGUUUGUAACACCCGAAGUCGGUGAGGUAACCGUAAGGAGCCAGCCGCCUAAGGUGGGAUAGAUGAUUGGGGUGAAGUCGUAACAAGGUAGCCGUAUCGGAAGGUGCGGCUGGAUCACCUCCUUUCUAAGGA